AAAAAGACAACAUUAAAAUCGAACUUCACAUAUUUGGACAAGUUUUGUGUGCUGCACUUUUGCAUCAGCAACACCUUGCAUUCAUAGCUCGCACUCGGGGCUGAGCCCAGUAAGCUCCAUCAAUUUGUACCCAUCCUCCGUCCUCUGCAUAAGGCUCCACCCAUAAAGGUGCCCUGUAGCAUUUUUCAACGAAAUUCUCAUAUGCUAUUCCUUUGUACAAUACAGCAGUCAAGGCAUGGGUAUUGUUUGCU
rnacentral:sRNA from 1 species